AGUGAACGCUGGCGGUAGGCCUAACACAUGCAAGUCGAACGGCAGCACAGGAGAGCUUGCUCUCUGGGUGGCGAGUGGCGGACGGGUGAGGAAUACAUCGGAAUCUACUCUGUCGUGGGGGAUAACGUAGGGAAACUUACGCUAAUACCGCGUACGACCUACGGGUGAAAGCAGGGGACCUUCGGGCCUUGCGCGAUUGAAUGAGCCGAUGUCGGAUUAGCUAGUUGGCGGGGUAAAGGCCAACCAAGGCGACGAUCCGUAGCUGGUCAGAGAGGAUGAUCAGCCACACUGGAACUGAGACACGGUCCAGACUCCUACAGGAGGCAGCAGUGGGGAAUAUUGGACAAUGGGCGCAAGCCUGAUCCAGCCAUGCCGCGUGGGUGAAGAAGGCCUUCGGGUUGUAAAGCCCUUUUGUUGGGAAAGAAAUCCAGCUGGCUAAUACCCGGUUGGGAUGACGGUACCCAAAGAAUAAGCACCGGCUAACUUCGUGCCAGCAGCCGCCGUAA
rnacentral:rRNA from 1 species